ensembl:antisense Gm11266 predicted gene 11266
AGUGCUGAGCCCUGGGCAAGUGUCUCCAGACAUCCCUACCUUUUCUCCCUUUUAUUAGUUUUCUUUCCCAACAGAACCCAUUUACUUUGCCACUAAAACUAGGUUGCAUCCAAAAGUUUCUAAACAAGCUUAAAAAAGAAAAAUUGACACCAUUAUACAGAAGAAUUCACAAAAGCUGCAGAGCGCCAGGGCAGAGAAGCAGCGACAGACACAGGCCCAGGACACACAGGACGGAUGUUUCCAAGUCACUCGAGGGACACAUGCCUGUGUCUCAGAAGUUGCUUCCCUGCCUCUACUCUGUGAAUUUCCCAAACUCUCUAACUCUGAUUCAUCUUCAUUCACUCUUCCCUGUAGUUUGUGUGUAAAGAGCCCUUAAAGCAAUAUGGUGGAGGGUAAGAGUUGUGAGCCGGUGGCAGGCAAGGCCUAAACUUGGUACAGCAAAGGAAAUUUCGUGGUACUUGCUCCUGAGUCUGGGAAUCACAGGCUAGCCAGCCUCUCCCCUAUUACUAGGAAACAGUAGAACUUAGGGAAAUGGAUGAUUCCAUGUUUAAGAGGCCUGAAAUUGUAUACUUGGCAUUUCUGAUUUCAGUUCUAAAAUUCUGUCCCUUCGUCAUAGAGAAAAUGAGAAAUGUAGUUACAACUUUUCAUUACAAAAACGUUGCAUUAAGAGAAAUGGAGAAUCAUGCCCACAUAAAACAUGUAUAGAAGUGUUCAUGAUUUGAUCAGGGCUGGGGAUAUAGCUCAGACAUCCGGCGCUUGCACAGCAAUGUGCAUAACCCAAGGUUCAAGCCCCAGCACUGACAAAGAGAAGCAGAAGGAGCGGAGGUAUUCACAGCAGCCUUUUCAAUAUAGGCAUGAAAGGGAGAGUUUACAUGCCGGUUGAGGAAUGGAGAGUGUAAAAUGGCUUGUCUAUAAAACUGGAUUCUGGUCAUCAGUAGAGAGGUCUGAAGUGAUAGAUAUGGUGGAUGAGUCUUUAAACAUCUUCCUGAGUAAUGAAGCCAACCAGAAGAAAGGCAGAUACUCCGUAUCUCUGGAGUAUAUAGGUAAACCAUUAUAGAGAAAAAGCACCAUACUGGUUACCUGGACUUGGAGUGAUGAACAGACUUUGGGAGACAGCAGAGUGGAACAGAAUUUACUUGAGUGGUGAUAAAAAAAAAAGUUCUUGAAUUAACGGAAGUGAUGCUUGCUCCACUUGAUUGCUGCAUUUAAAAACCACUGAAUUUUACCUUUGGAUGGGUGAAUUCAUUGUAUUUCAAUAAAGCCAUGAAUAU